AUGCUAGCCAGAGCAGGAGAACAUGUGAAAAUGGUGAAAGUCUGUAGAUGUAGGUUUCCCACAGAGUCAAAAAGCAAAGAAGUUAACCCAGAAAAGGAACAAAAGACAAGCCACACAAGUCAAUGCCUUGGUGGAAGAGACCGCUUGAAUCCAUGCUUUCCAUGUCACUCUCUGUCGCAAGUCCAGUGCAAAGAAAAGCCCCUCUGUGACAGGCCUAAGACCAACAUGAUCAACACUGAUUUUUUCAUCCCCCCACCACAGUCUCUAAAUAAAAUUUCUCUGCACUCUCUGAGAAAUAGUGUUUCUGAAUGUAAUUAUUUUGCUGAAGAAUGAUCUGUGGUCCCUGGAGUACCCCAGUUUUGUUUUUUUUUUUUCAUGUAAUAGGAUAGUGGGGUGUGGUAGGUGGAGGGAGAGACAAGUGAGUCAGGAGGAAACACAUCGUUUUUUCCUUUUUUCCUGUUUGGAAGAUUUACUAAUGAAAUUUAUGGUUGGGCUUUGGUCUAGGGUAGGUUGAAAUGCUUUCUGGAUAUGAAAAGGGCUUUUUUUGGUUUGAUAAACCCUGUUAACUGGGUCAGAUUCAGGCUGGGCUGGGAUGGUGGUCAUGAUAUACGACAACUAGAUUUCCACUGGCUCACACUUCUAGCUUCAUUUGUUGGCAGUAGUUUUUUUUUUUUUUAGAAACAAGCCCAGGU
rnacentral:lncRNA from 1 species